rnacentral:rRNA from 1 species
UGGGGAAUAUUGCACAAUGGGCGGAAGCCUGAUGCAGCGACGCCGCGUGAGGGAUGACGGCCUUCGGGUUGUAAACCUCUUUCAGCAGGGACGAAGCGAGAGUGACGGUACCUGCAGAAGAAGCACCGGCCAACUACGUGCCAGCAGCCGCGGUAAGACGUAGGGUGCGAGCGUUGUCCGGAUUUAUUGGGCGUAAAGAGCUCGUAGGCGGCUUGUCGCGUCGACCGUGAAAACUUGGGGCUCAACCCCAAGCCUGCGGUCGAUACGGGCAGGCUAGAGUUCGGUAGGGGAGACUGGAAUUCCUGGUGUAGCGGUGAAAUGCGCAGAUAUCAGGAGGAACACCGGUGGCGAAGGCGGGUCUCUGGGCCGAUACUGACGCUGAGGAGCGAAAGCGUGGGGAGCGAACA